rnacentral:rRNA from 1 species
GAUGAACGCUAGCGGGAGGCCUAACACAUGCAAGCCGAGCGGUAUUGUUUCUUCGGAAAUGAGAGAGCGGCGUACGGGUGCGGAACACGUGUGCAACCUGCCUUUAUCUGGGGGAUAGCCUUUCGAAAGGAAGAUUAAUACUCCAUAAUAUAUUGAACGGCAUCGUUUAAUAUUGAAAGCUCCGGCGGAUAGAGAUGGGCACGCGCAAGAUUAGCUAGUUGGUGAGGUAACGGCUCACCAAGGCGAUGAUCUUUAGGGGGCCUGAGAGGGUGAUCCCCCACACUGGUACUGAGACACGGACCAGACUCCUACGGGAGGCAGCAGUGAGGAAUAUUGGUCAAUGGGUGCAAGCCUGAACCAGCCAUCCCGCGUGAAGGACGACUGCCCUAUGGGUUGUAAACUUCUUUUGUAUAGGGAUAAACCUACCCUCGUGAGGGUAGCUGAAGGUACUAUACGAAUAAGCACCGGCUAACUCCGUGCCAGCAGCCGCGGUAAAAGUACUCUA